rnacentral:tRNA from 1 species
AAAGGGUUAGUUAAACCAUAACAUUAAACUGUCAAAUUAAAGUUACCACGGGUAUCCUUUA